rnacentral:rRNA from 1 species
UACGAAGGGGGCUAGCGUUGCUCGGAAUCACUGGGCGUAAAGCGCACGUAGGCGGAUCUUUAAGUCAGGGGUGAAAUCCCAAGGCUCAACCUUGGAACUGCCUUUGAUACUGGGGAUCUCGAGUCCGGAAGAGGUGAGUGGAACUGCGAGUGGUAGAGGUGAAAUUCGUAGAUAUUCGCAAGAACACCAGUGGCGAAGGCGGCUCACUGGUC